CGAUUAUUCCGUACAGAAUCGCCUGAAUAAAAAAAGAGCGAUUCUCUUACGGAACUGAUCCUAACGGAGGAAAGGAUCUAAAACGUAAUAUUAGAAGAAAAGGGAGUCCAAGAAGGUAACAAAAAACCCGCCAAUAUAAAAAUGUCGUUUCCAAUAUAUCAUGGAAAUAUAUACCUAUCAAUCAGGACUCCUAAUUCUGAGG